UCCCCUGUAGCUCAAUUGGUAGAGCGUCGGACUGUUAAUCCGCAGGUUGCUGGUUCGAGUCCAGCCGGGGGAGC
rnacentral:tRNA from 1 species